GACGAACGCUGGCGGCGUGCCUAAUACAUGCAAGUCGAGCGAGCUUGCCUAGAUGAAUUUGGUGCUUGCACCAGAUGAAACUAGAUACAAGCGAGCGGCGGACGGGUGAGUAACACGUGGGUAACCUGCCCAAGAGACUGGGAUAACACCUGGAAACAGAUGCUAAUACCGGAUAACAACACUAGACGCAUGUCUAGAGUUUAAAAGAUGGUUCUGCUAUCACUCUUGGAUGGACCUGCGGUGCAUUAGCUAGUUGGUAAGGUAACGGCUUACCAAGGCAAUGAUGUAUAGCCGAGUUGAGAGACUGAUCGGCCACAUUGGGACUGAGACACGGCCCAAACUCCUACGGGAGGCAGCAGUAGGGAAUCUUCCACAAUGGACGCAAGUCUGAUGGAGCAACGCCGCGUGAGUGAAGAAGGGUUUCGGCUCGUAAAGCUCUGUUGGUAGUGAAGAAAGAUAGAGGUAGUAACUGGCCUUUAUUUGACGGUAAUUACUUAGAAAGUCACGGCUAACUACGUGCCAGCAGCCGCGGUAAUACGUAGGUGGCAAGCGUUGUCCGGAUUUAUUGGGCGUAAAGCGAGUGCGGGCGGUUCAAUAAGUCUGAUGUGAAAGCCUUCGGCUCAACCGGAGAAUUGCAUCAGAAACUGUUGAACUUGAGUGCAGAAGAGGAGAGUGGAACUCCAUGUGUAGCGGUGGAAUGCGUAGAUAUAUGGAAGAACACCAGUGGCGAAGGCGGCUCUCUGGUCUGCAACUGACGCUGAGGCUCGAAAGCAUGGGUAGCGAACAGG
rnacentral:rRNA from 1 species